AGGUGGGGAGAAGUGGAAGGAAGGACGCACGAGAGCCAGCCUGCGACACCUAAGGACAGAAACACCUCCCUCAGCCCAGCCGGCUGCUGACUCCAUGCGAAGAGGGACACCAACCCUUACAAUCUCACAGUGUCCUGCCCCUGCCCCUGCCCCUGUGAGGGCGAUGCUCCUUCCAUCAAAACCAGAGUGUCCCAGCUCUAGAUUCCCCACCCAAUCUCCUGUGGCUGUCUCAGCACCUCCGUCGUGAAUCCGUGCAUCCCUUCAGACGACUGCCUUCCGAUGCGGCCCCUGACCUGCCCCCCCUCCCAUCACUGAAUAGGACUCCUUUUCUCCUGGAUUUCCUGUAGGAAGUUUCAAAAUGCUCUCCAGGUUUUCUGUGGGUGGAUUAUCUCUCUGGAUCUUUCUAAGUGAGUCCUGUGUUUCACCACAGCUCCCCCCACACAGUUGAGCAGCUAUACCGUGGGGAGGCUUGGUCCUCUUGCCCCAUUUGUGUGAUGUCUAUUGUAGUCAUGCCAGGGGCCUGACGUCAGAGCUCCACCCUGACAUGUGCUCAUGCCGGUUUACAAACCCUCCCAGGACCAGGCCCCCAUCCCUCUUCCAGGACAGGCUCUGGAGCUCCAGCUAUUAACAGAAACAUUCCAGCCAGCAUCCCCAGCGACCCUCAGCCUCCCACGCCGCUGUGUCUUCAUGACCACAGCCUGGCCACCACACAGCUCCCCCUCGAGGACUGUGACCACUUCCAGCCAUGGUCUCUUUGGG
rnacentral:lncRNA from 1 species